rnacentral:rRNA from 1 species
ACAGCAGUAGCCGCGGGAAUACGGAGGGUGCAAGCGUUAAUCGGAAUUACUGGGCGUAAAGCGCACGCAGGCGGUCUGACAAGUCAGAUGUGAAAUCCCCGGGCUUAACCUGGGAACUGCAUUUGAAACUGUCAGGCUGGAGUCUUGUAGAGGGGGGUAGAAUUCCAGGUGUAGCGGUGAAAUGCGUAGAGAUCUGGAGGAAUACCGGUGGCGAAGGCGGCCCCCUGGACAAAGACUGACGCUCAGGUGCGAAAGCGUGGGGAGCAAACAGGAUUAGAUACCCGCGUAGUCCCUGUCUCUUAUAC